rnacentral:lncRNA from 11 species
AUGCAUAACUACCACUGUGAGCAGUCCGAAGUCAGCAACAGAGAGGUGCAGUAUGUAGGUGGUGAAAGCAUUUCUCUUAAUGUGAAAGCCAACAAGGCAAAUGACUAUUCCAUUUCCUACAAGUCCAGGAAGGCAGAUCAGAAGAACUAUGGUGGAUAUUGUAAAUUUUUCUAUGAUAGAAGCACCAUUUUGUAACUCAGU